rnacentral:rRNA from 1 species
GACGAACGCUGGCGGCGUGCUUAACACAUGCAAGUCGAACGGAAAGGCUCGGCUCUUGUGGCGUUCUGGAGUGGCGAGCGGGUGAGUAUCACGUGAGUGACCUCCCCCUUACUUUGGGGUACCUUAAGGGAACAGGAACUCUUAUACGGCAGAACAUCCUUAUACAUGGUGGGGGUGGGAGAGAGGCGCCGGUUCGGGACGCACAGGAGGCUUAGCAGCUUGUUGGUGAGGUAGUGGGUUACCCAGGCUACGACGGGUAGCCGGACUGGGAGGGGGACCGGCCACAUUGGGCCUGGGAUACGGCCCAGACUGCUACGGGAGGCAGCGGUGGGAGAUAGUGCACGAUGCGCCGAAGCCUGAUGGAGCAACGCCGCGUGGGGGAUGACGGCUUGCGGGUUGUAACCCGCUUGCGCCUGUGACGCAGCGUGAGUGACGGUAAUGGGUAAAGAAGCACCGGCUAACUACGUG